rnacentral:lncRNA from 1 species
CACUCACCUUAGUCACCCUGUUUGAUUAAGCUUCUGUUUCCUUUGGGAGCUUCAGUGAUAAACAAGGCAGCAGAACCCAGAGAGUGACAGGUCUUGAAAUGCUCUUUCGUGUCAGUACGAGCACAGUGGAGGGCACAGAUUAGCCUUGUCCUCACUGGUGCCUCCAUUUCUGCGGGGUAAAAGAAUCGUUGCUCCACUCAGCCCUGUGGACCUAGGAAAUCAACAACUCAGGGCCAAAGACCCUUGCAGUCAACAAAAACAAGUAGAAUGUGUCUCUGAAAUUCCUCAGAAAUCAAAACUAAGGCGAAGGCUAAGCUCCCUGUUGAGUACUUCCAAGCGCUGGAUUAGCAGGUAAAAUGAGAAUCACACUUUCAAUAACUAUUGGACAUGCGGGCGCACAUGGACAUAUCCCCAAGGCUUCAAGUGAUAUAGAUUUUACCACUUCCUUUUAUGGUGCAAUUUCAUAUUUCUGACACAGGGAAAACAAACCCCUUAACAAAAGCCAUUUGCUUUUAAGCAAAUCCAGUCUAUUUUCACAGAUUUGAGCAGGUCUCUGUCAUCUGACUUAUCACAGAUAACAACAACAACUUUGGUCAAUUUCUUCCUCCAUCCAAGGCUGGCAGAAGCUCCCAGACGCUGAAGAUCUUUGAGUGUAUGUGCUAUAUCUUUACCAGCCGAGCCAGAUUUGACCAUGUGCAUGUUUUAUAUAAAUAUGGUUGAAAGCACUUGACUCAUAGCAGCCAUUGCUUUAUCAAUUUUUUUCUUUUUCGUUUUCUUUUCCAUUCUGCCCUAUCUCUCUUCCUUUCUCUCUUCUCACUCCCCAA